rnacentral:snoRNA from 1 species
UUGCAGCUAGUUAAGCCAACUGGCCCACCUCCUUGAUGGUAUCUUUGUGUGCAGUGGUUGCAAAAAGCAGGCUCCCUGGUUGUGUACACGGCUCAUUCCUUGUAUGUGUUGCUCUAAGGGACCUUGGCGACAUUG